rnacentral:rRNA from 1 species
GACGAACGCUGGUGGCGUGCUUAACACAUGCAAGUCGAACGGGAUUUAGUAAACAGAAGCCUCGGUGGAAGAUUACUAAUGAGAGUGGCGAACGGGUGAGUAACGCGUGAGCAACCUGCCUAUGACAGUGGGAUAGCCUCGGGAAACCGGGAUUAAUACCGCAUAAAAUCGUAGAAACACAUGUUUUAACGGUCAAAGAUUUAUCGGUCAUAGAUGGGCUCGCGUCUGAUUAGCUAGUUGGUGAGAUAACAGCCCACCAAGGCGACGAUCAGUAGCCGGUCUGAGAGGAUGAACGGCCACAUUGGAACUGAGACACGGUCCAAACUCCUACGGGAGGCAGCAGUGGGGAAUAUUGCACAAUGGGGGAAACCCUGAUGCAGCGACGCCGCGUGAACGAAGAAGGUAUUCGUAUCGUAAAGUUCUGUCCUAUGGGAAGAUAAUGACAGUACCAUAGAAGAAAGCUCCGGCUAAAUACGU